rnacentral:rRNA from 1 species
AGUGAACGCUGGCGGUAGGCCUAACACAUGCAAGUCGAACGGCAGCACAGUAAGAGCUUGCUCUUACGGGUGGCGAGUGGCGGACGGGUGAGGAAUACAUCGGAAUCUACUUUUUCGUGGGGGAUAACGUAGGGAAACUUACGCUAAUACCGCAUACGACCUACGGGUGAAAGCAGGGGAUCUUCGGACCUUGCGCGAUUGAAUGAGCCGAUGUCGGAUUAGCUAGUUGGCGGGGUAAAGGCCCACCAAGGCGACGAUCCGUAGCUGGUCUGAGAGGAUGGUCAGCCCCACUGGAACUGAGACACGGUCCAGACUCCUAAGGGAGGCAGCAGUGGGGAAUAUUGGACAAUGGGCGCAAGCCUGAUCCAGCCAUACCGCGUGGGUGAAGAAGGCCUUCGGGUUGUAAAGCCCUUUUGUUGGGAAAGAAAAGCAGCAGGUUAAUACCCCGCUGUUCUGACGGUACCCAAAGAAUAAGCACCGGCUAACUUCGUG